rfam:Ictidomys tridecemlineatus contig013371, whole genome shotgun sequence.
GGGUUUGUGGCUCGGUGGUAGAGUGCUUGCCUAGCAUGCAUGAGGCCCUGGGUUCAAUCCCCAGCACCA